CUGUGUGUUGGAAAAAGAGGAAGGUGAACCAGACUGAGCAGUGAAAGAAGUGGAAAACUGUCUUUCAAUACGCCCGCCUCAAA